UGCCAGACUCCUACGGGAGGCAGCAGUGGGGAAUAUUGCACAAUGGGGGAAACCCUGAUGCAGCGACGCCGCGUGAGUGAAGAAGUAUUUCGGUAUGUAAAGCUCUAUCAGCAGGGAAGAAAAUGACGGUACCUGACUAAGAAGCCCCGGCUAACUACGUGCCAGCAGCCGCGGUAAUACGUAGGGGGCAAGCGUUAUCCGGAUUUACUGGGUGUAAAGGGAGCGUAGACGGUUAUGUAAGUCUGGAGUGAAAGCCCGGGGCCCAACCCCGGGACUGCUUUGGAAACUGUGUAACUAGAGUACAGGAGGGGCAGGCGGAAUUCCUGGUGUAGCGGUGAAAUGCGUAGAUAUCAGGAGGAACACCGGCGGCGAAGGCGGCCUGCUGGACUGAAACUGACGUUGAGGCUCGAAAGCGUGGGGAGCAAACAGGAUUAGAUACCCGUGUAA
rnacentral:rRNA from 1 species